UUUACCAUUUUCCCCUCCAUUCUAUGGUAUCCCACUUAUUUUAGGAUAUUGAGCUAAAUUGCUCUUCUCUUGAGUAUUUGCCAGAAAAAAAAGAAUAGAGAAAAAAAUAAUUCUCAAUCUUUCACGAUGAUAUCGAAAACGAAGGAGUCGAUUUGUUCAAUCAUCUCCGGCGAAGACGUUUCCGGCGAAUAAUUAGACGGUAUUUUAUGAAUCGUUCGAUGAAGCAUUUGAUGGUCGCUGGAUCGUAAAAAAAGGAUACAAACAAGAUGGGAGAUUCAGGACCUAUGGAGCAAACUAUGUUGUGUUUAUAAAACUAUGUUUUUGAACUUUUAUGUUACUUGGACAAGUAGAAGUUUGUAAUGGAUGAUCACGACGUUUGUUGUUAGUUUCAUUUAGGUUUUUUUUUGAAGGAAUUCCAGGUUGUCUUGGUGCAUUCUCAGAGUAUUGUUAUCAUUAUAAAACAC